rnacentral:rRNA from 1 species
AUUGAACGCUGGCGGCAGGCUUAACACAUGCAAGUCGAGCGGAGCGGCGGACGGGUGCGUAAUGCUUAGGAAUCAGCCUAUUAGUGGGGGACAACAUCCCGAAAGGGAUGCUAAUACCGCAUACUUAUCGAUGAGCCUCAGUCGGAUUAGCUAGUUGGUGGGGUAAAGGCCUACCAAGGCUACGAUCUGAAGCGGGUCUGAGAGGAUGAUUCGCCACACUGGGAAUGAGACACGGCCCAGACUCCUACGGGAGGGAGCAGUGGGGAAUAUUGGGCAAUGGGGGGAACCCUGAUCCAGCAAUGCCGCGGGUGUGAAGAAGGCCUUAUGGUUGUAAAGCACUUUAAGCGAGGAGGCGUUACCCGCAGAGAAAGCACCGGCUAACUCUGUGCCAGCAGCCGCGGUAAUAC